AGAGACAGCAGCAGCCGCGGUAAUACGUAGGUCCCGAGCGUUGUCCGGAUUUAUUGGGCGUAAAGGGAGCGCAGGCGGUUUAGUAAGUCUGGAGUUAAAGGCAUUGGCUCAACCAAUGUAUGCUUUGGAAACUGUUUGACUUGAGUGCAGAAGAGGAGAGUGGAAUUCCACGUGUAGCGGUGAAAUGCGUAGAGAUGUGGAGGAACACCAGUGGCGAAGGCGACUCUCUGGUCUGUAACUGACGCUGAGGAGCGAAAGCGUGGGGAGCGAACAGGAUUAGAUACCCGUGUAGUCCCUGUCUCUUAUACA
rnacentral:rRNA from 1 species